GACGGAGGGUGCUAGCGUUGUUCGGAAUUACUGGGCGUAAAGGGCGCGUAGGCGGCCUUGUCAGUCGGGUGUGAAAGCCCGGGGCUCAACCCCGGAACGGCACCCGAGACGGCAGGGCUGGAGACCGGGAGAGGAGGGUGGAAUAGCCAGUGUAGAGGUGAAAUUCGUAGAUAUUGGCUGGAACACCGGUGGCGAAAGCGGCUCUCUGGCCCGGUUCUGACGCUGAGGCGCGAAAGCGUGGGGAGCAAACAGG
rnacentral:rRNA from 1 species